rfam:Smithella sp. SCADC Smithella_SCADC_Contig_37, whole genome shotgun sequence.
GGGGUUGUAGCUCAGCUGGGAGAGCGCUUGAAUGGCAUUCAAGAGGUCAGGAGUUCGAUCCUCCUCAGCUCCA